rnacentral:rRNA from 1 species
UACGAAGGGUGCAAGCGUUACUCGGAAUUACUGGGCGUAAAGCGUGCGUAGGUGGUUUGUUAAGUCUGAUGUGAAAGCCCUGGGCUCAACCUGGGAAUUGCAUUGGAUACUGGCAGGCUAGAGUGCGGUAGAGGAUGGCGGAAUUCCCGGUGUAGCAGUGAAAUGCGUAGAGAUCGGGAGGAACAUCUGUGGCGAAGGCGGCCAUCUGGACCAGCACUGACACUGAGGAGCGAAAGCGUGGGGAGCGAACAGG